rnacentral:rRNA from 1 species
ACAGGUUGAUAUUCCUGUACCGCCAAUAAGCGUUUGAGAGAUGGAGUGACACAGUAGGAUAAGCUAACCGUACUGUUGGUUAUGUACGGCUAAGCAUUGAGGCAGUCUAAAUAGGCAAAUCCGUUUAUACAAUGCUAGGAUGUGAUGGGGAAGCCCUUCGGGGGGAAGUAGCUGAUUUCACACUGUCAAGAAAAGCUUCUAUCGAGUUUAAAGGCGCCCGUACCGUAAACCGACACAGGUGGGUGAGGAGAGUAUCCUAAGGCCAGCGAGAGAACUAUUGUUAAGGAACUCGGCAAAAUGACCCCGUAACUUAGGGAGAAGGGGUGCCUGUCUAUGACAGGCCGCAGAGAAUAGGCCCAAGCGACUGUUUACCAAAAACACAGGUUUCUGCUAAGUCGCAAGACGAUGUAUAGGAGCUGACGCCUGCCCGGUGCUGGAAGGUUAAGGGGAUCUGUUAGAGCAAUCGAAGCAGUGAACUUAAGCCCCAGUAAACGGCGGCCGUAACUAUAACGGUCCUAAGGUAGCGAAAUUCCUUGUCGGGUAAGUUCCGACCCGCACGAAAGGCGUAACGAUUUGGGCACUGUCUCAACAAUAGACUCGGUGAAAUUGUAAUCCCGGUGAAGAUGCCGGGUACCUGCGACAGGACGGAAAGACCCCAUGGAGCUUUACUGUAGCUUGACGUUGGGUCUUGGUACUACAUGUACAGGAUAGGUGGGAGACUAUGAAGCAUGGACGCCAGUCUGUGUGGAGUCAUCCUUGGGAUACCACCCUUGUAGUACUGGGAUCCUAACCAUAGGCCUUGAAUCAGGUCUUGGAACACCGUCAGGUGGGCAGUUUGACUGGGGCGGUCGCCUCCUAAAAAGUAACGGAGGCGCUCAAAGGUUUCCUCAGCACGGUCGGAAAUCGUGCGAAGAGUGUAAAGGCAAAAGGAAGCUUGAUUGCAAGACAUACAGGUCGAGCAAGGACGAAAGUCGGACUUAGUGAUCCGGUGGUACCGCAUGGAAGGGCCAUCGCUCAACGGAUAAAAGCUACCCUGGGGAUAACAGGCUUAUCUCCCCCAAGAGUCCACAUCGACGGGGAGGUUUGGCACCUCGAUGUCGGCUCAUCACAUCCUGGGGCUGUAGUAGGUCCCAAGGGUUGGGCUGUUCGCCCAUUAAAGUGGUACGCGAGCUGGGUUCAGAACGUCGUGAGACAGUUCGGUCCCUAUCCGUCGCAGGCGUAGGAAAUUUGAGAAGACCUGUCCUUAGUACGAGAGGACCGGGAUGGACGUACCUCUGGUGUACCAGUUGUUCUGCCAAGGGCAUGGCUGGGUAGCUAUGUACGGAAUGGAUAAGCGCUGAAAGCAUCUAAGCGCGAAGCCAACUUCAAGAUAAGAUUUCCCACCGUAAGGGUAAGACCCCAGGAAGACUACCUGGUUGAUAGGUCGAAGGUGUAAGUGCAGUAAUGUAUUUAGCUUAUCGAUACUAAUAGGUCGAGGACUUGACCAA